UACGUAGGCAGCGAGCGUUUGUUCGGAAUUACUGGGCGUAAAGAGUGUGUAGGCGGUGUUCCCAGUCUGUUGUGAAAUCUCCCGGCUUAACUGGGAGGGUGCAGCGGAAACUAGAAUGCUAGAGGGUGGGAGAGGUAAGCGGAAUUCCUGGUGUAGCGGUGAAAUGCGUAGAUAUCUGGAGGAACACCGGUGGCGAAGGCGACAUCCUGGACCGGUAUUGACGCUGAGGCGCGAAAGCCAGGGGAGCAACGGG
rnacentral:rRNA from 1 species